GUUGGUGGAAAGAAUGACUGCAGAAAGAGAGGAAAUUUUGGGGAUUGUGAAGAUGGCAGAGACAAGAGCAAGAGAAAAAAUGAAAAAAAAAGAAAAAAAAAAGAAAAAAAACAAGAAAUAAAAAAAACAAAAAAAAAGAAGGCGAGUUCAACAUCGUCUUCGGAGAAAGAAACAACUACUGAUAGUGACACUUCUACCUCUGAGGCUGAGACUCAAGAAGACUCAGGGGAUUCAGGAAGAAAACACCGCAGCAAAAAGGGGAAAAAAAUGGACUCCAGAAAAAGAAAGAAGAGUCAAGAGGAGUC